GUUGGUGCUCCCUCUGCCCUAAAAAUUUGCCACCUGGCUAAAUGCGACUCACUGUUUAGGUUGUAUGCUUAUGUCAUUUGGGCAAGAAAGCCUUCCCAAUUGACUUGGCUGGGGUUCUUUGGUUUCAGGCUCCAAUAGGUUUCCUGGAAUUUUAAUUUUACAGUGCCUCUGGUGCUUUCAGGUGCUGCUCACCUCUGUCUGGUCUGCAGGGAUACAAAUAGAUUUUUCAUGGACAGGUUUUAGCAAUUUAGCUCUCUUCCUAGCCAUCAUCUUGUUUACCUUGACAAUAAACCAACAACUAAGGAUCAUUUUUCCAUACCUCUGGGCUAUGGCUUCACAGCUGGUCAGUAGCAAGUAUGUGGCUAGAUACAAGUUUGUUCUGACCCUCUAACUCUACUUUUUCAAAUUCUGAGGCUUUCUUCUGCUUCUAGAGCUUGUCGGCACUGGUUGAGAUCUAGGAAAAGCAUUGCACCUUUACCACUCCUGUGGCCCAGCUGCUCUUACUAAGGGGCAUAGGUCUUAUCACAGACUGCGAGAGGGCUUUCUAAAUGGAUCGUAUGCCUCUAAGCCUUUAAACUGCACAUAAGAAUUCAUAAGCCUGAGUCUAUGAACCCAGUAACAGUUUGCUGUCUUUCCAAGUUUGAUAAUUGAUUUUCCAACUUCUGCUUAGUCAAUCUCCCACAUUAUUUUGCCAUAGUAGUAUUCCAUUUCUGGAUCCUAUUUUUGUAUUUGUUAGCUUUUCUGCAUAACAAAUAAGCCCCAAAUAUAGUAGCUUGCAGCAAUCAUCACUUAACAUCUCACAGUUCUUUGAGCCACUGGAGGUCUAUGCUAAGCUGAGUGGCCCAGCUGGUCUUGCCUGGAUGGCUUUACUCACCUGCUUGAUGGUUCAUUCUGUCAUCUAGUUGAUGCUGGCUAUUGACUUGUGGCUUCUCUGUCUCUUUCCAUGCUGGUGACUCGGAAGUGGAGAUAACAUCUUACAGUGGAGGAACCUACACUUGGAGUCACCUGAAAGAGGACAGCCCUUCUGGCCCACGAAGGACAUUGGCUCUUCAGCUCGCUGUACAACUCAGACAGACUCCUGCCUCUAUUCAUUGAUGUGAGAUUUUCUAGAGCAGAGUGAGCAACACCAGAACAGCAGCCCUCUUCAGAAGAGGUGUGGCCAGUAUCCAAACUGGUGGCCUUCCCUGCACACGGUUGAUGAACAGCAG
rnacentral:lncRNA from 1 species